rnacentral:tRNA from 1 species
CAAAAAGUAGCUUAUUGCAAAGCCUCUCGCUUACACCGAGAAGAUGUCUGAUCAACACAGACCAUUUUGA